rnacentral:piRNA from 1 species
UAGGGCCUUAUUUUCUAUUAUAUGAGAGA